rnacentral:rRNA from 1 species
AUUGAACGCUGGCGGUAGGCCUAACACAUGCAAGUCGAACGCGAAAGUCCUGGAUGAGUAGAGUGGCGGACGGGUGAGUAACGCGUAGGAAUCUAUCCUGUAGUGGGGGAUAACGUUUCGAAAGGAACGCUAAUACCGCAUACGCCCCAAGGGGGAAAGCGGGGGAUCUUCGGACCUCGUGCUAUAGGAGGAGCCCUGCGUCGGAUUAGCUAGUUGGUGAGGUAAAGGCUCACCAAGGCGACGAUCCGUAGCUGGUCUGAGAGGAUGAUCAGCCACACCGGAACUGAGACACGGUCCGGACUCCUACGGGAGGCAGCAGUGGGGAAUAUUGCGCAAUGGGCGAAAGCCUGACGCAGCCA